GAUGAACGCUGGCGGCGUGCUUAACACAUGCAAGUCGAACGGAAAGGCCCAAGCUUGCUUGGGUACUCGAGUGGCGAACGGGUGAGUAACACGUGGGUGAUCUGCCCUGCACUUCGGGAUAAGCCUGGGAAACUGGGUCUGAUACCGGAUAGGACCACAUUUUGGAUGGUGUGGUGGAAAGUUUUUCGGUGUGGGAUGAGCUCGCGGCCUAUCAGCUUGUUGGUGGGGUAAUGGCCUACCAAGGCGUCGACGGGUAGCCGGCCUGAGAGGGUGUACGGCCACAUUGGGACUGAGAUACGGCCCAGACUCCUACGGGAGGCAGCAGUGGGGAAUAUUGCACAAUGGGCGCAAGCCUGAUGCAGCGACGCCGCGUGGGGGAUGACGGCCUUCGGGUUGUAAACUCCUUUCGCUAGGGACGAAGCGUUAUGUGACGGUACCUGGAGAAGAAGCACCGGCUAACUACGUG
rnacentral:rRNA from 1 species